UACGUAGGUGGCAAGCGUUGUCCGGAUUUACUGGGCGUAAAGAGCGCGCAGGCGGCUGGGCAAGUCCGAUGUGAAAGCCCCCGGCUCAACUGGGGAGGGUCACGCGAUACUGAUCGACUCGAAGGCAGGAGAGGGUAGUGGAAUUCCCGGUGUAGUGGUGAAAUGCGUAGAUAUCGGGAGGAACACCAGUGGCGAAGGCGACUACCUGGCCUGUUCUUGACGCUGAGGCGCGAAAGCUAGGGGAGCAAACGGG
rnacentral:rRNA from 1 species